CCCUUGACUCUGGGAUAAGCCUGGGAAACCGGGUCUAAUACCGGAUGCGACCUCUCACCGCAUGGUGGGGGGUGGAAAGAUUUAUCGGUCUUGGAUGGACUCGCGGCCUAUCAGCUUGUUGGUGGGGUAAUGGCCCACCAAGGCGACGACGGGUAGCCGGCCUGAGAGGGUGACCGGCCACACUGGGACUGAGACACGGCCCAGACUCCUACGGGAGGCAGCAGUGGGGAAUAUUGCACAAUGGGCGCAAGCCUGAUGCAGCGACGCCGCGUGAGGGAUGACGGCCUUCGGGUUGUAAACCUCUUUCAGUAGGGAAGAAGCGAAAGUGACGGUACCUGCAGAAGAAGCGCCGGCUAACUACGUGCCAGCAGCCGCGGUAAUACGUAGGGCGCGAGCGUUAUCCGGAAUUAUUGGGCGUAAAGAGCUCGUAGGCGGUUUGUCGCGUCUGCCGUGAAAGUCCGGGGCUUAACCCCGGAUCUGCGGUGGGUACGGGCAGACUGGAGUGCAGUAGGGGAGACUGGAAUUCCUGGUGUAGCGGUGAAAUGCGCAGAUAUCAGGAGGAACACCGAUGGCGAAGGCAGGUCUCUGGGCUGUUACUGACGCUGAGGAGCGAAAGCAUGGGGAGCGAACAGGAUUAGAUACCCUGGUAGUCCAUGCCGUAAACGUUGGGCACUAGGUGUGGGGGCCAUUCCACGGUUUCCGCGCCGCAGCUAACGCAUUAAGUGCCCCGCCUGGGGAGUAC
rnacentral:rRNA from 1 species